rnacentral:rRNA from 2 species
GCAUAUCAAUAAGCGGAGGAAAAGAAACUAACAAGGAUUCCCUUAGUAACGGCGAGUGAAGCGGGAAGAGCUCAAAUUUAAAAUCUGGCCGGGUUACCGGUCCGAGUUGUAGUUUAUAGAAGUGUUUUCGGCGGCAACCUGGGUACAAGUCCUUUGGAACAGGGCAUCAUAGAGGGUGAGAAUCCCGUCCAUGACCCAGUGGAUGCUGCUAUGUGAUACACUUUCAAAGAGUCGAGUUGUUUGGGAUUGCAGCUCAAAAUGGGUGGUAAAUUUCAUCUAAAGCUAAAUACAGGCGAGAGACCGAUAGCGAACAAGUACCGUGAGGGAAAGAUGAAAAGAACUUUGAAAAGAGAGUUAAACAGUGCGUGAAAUUGUUGAAAGGGAAACGUUUGGCACCAGUCAUGCGUGCAGGAAAUCAGUCUAUUCAGGUGGGGAGUGGCAGGAGUUUGGACCGCAAGGCCAGCUUUUGUUGCAUUUCUGUUUGAAUGGAUGCACUUUUCUGUAUGCAGGUCAACAUCAGUUUUGUUUGCCGGACAAAACCUCAAGGGAAUGUGGCAGCUUUGGCUGUGUUAUAGCCCUGGGGCGAUACGGUGGACGAGACUGAGGCUUUCAGUGUGUGCUUUCGGGCAAGGCCGACCGGGUGCUCUGAGCUAGCACGGGGUACAAUACAUGUAUUUUGCUUCGUGUCUGGAUUAUACUCGCUCGAAUCGGCUCUUCCACGCUUAGGAUGUUGACAUAAUGGUUCUAAACGACCCGUCUUGAAACACGGACC